rnacentral:rRNA from 1 species
CCUACGGGAGGCAGCAGUGGGGAAUAUUGCACAAUGGGGGAAACCCUGAUGCAGCGACGCCGCGUGAGUGAAGAAGUAAUUCGUUAUGUAAAGCUCUAUCAGCAGGGAAGAAAAUGACGGUACCUGAGUAAGAAGCCCCGGCUAACUACGUGCCAGCAGCCGCGGUAAUACGUAGGGGGCAAGCGUUAUCCGGAUUUACUGGGUGUAAAGGGAGCGUAGACGGCAUUGCAAGUCUGAUGUGAAAGGCUGGGGCUCAACCCCAGGCCUGCAUUGGAAACUGUACGGCUGGAGUGCAGGAGAGGUAAGUGGAAUUCCUAGUGUAGCGGUGAAAUGCGUAGAUAUUAGGAGGAACACCAGUGGCGAAGGCGGCUUACUGGACUGUAACUGACGUUGAGGCUCGAAAGCGUGGGGAGCAAACAGGAUUAGAUACCCGGGUAGUC